rnacentral:rRNA from 1 species
GACGAACGCUGGCGGCGUGCUUAACACAUGCAAGUCGAACGGAAAGGCCCUGCUUUUGUGGGGUGCUCGAGUGGCGAACGGGUGAGUAACACGUGAGUAACCUGCCCUUGACUUUGGGAUAACUUCAGGAAACUGGGGCUAAUACCGGUUAGGAGCUCCUGCUGCAUGGUGGGGGUUGGAAAGUUUCGGCGGUUGGGGAUGGACUCGCGGCUUAUCAGCUUGUUGGUGGGGUAGUGGCUUACCAAGGCUUUGACGGGUAGCCGGCCUGAGAGGGUGACCGGCCACAUUGGGACUGAGAUACGGCCCAGACUCCUACGGGAGGCAGCAGUGGGGAAUAUUGCACAAUGGGCGGAAGCCUGAUGCAGCAACGCCGCGUGCGGGAUGACGGCCUUCGGGUUGUAAACCUCUUUCGCCUGUGACGAAGCGUGAGUGACGGUAAUGGGUAAAGAAGCACCGGCUAACUACGUG